GAUGAACGCUGGCGGCGUGCUUAACACAUGCAAGUCGAACGGAAAGGCCCAAGCUUGCUUGGGUACUCGAGUGGCGAACGGGUGAGUAACACGUGGGUGAUCUGCCCUGCACUUCGGGAUAAGCCUGGGAAACUGGGUCUAAUACCGGAUAGGACCACAUUUUGGAUGGUGUGGUGGAAAGUUUUUCGGUGUGGGAUGAGCUCGCGGCCUAUCAGCUUGUUGGGGGGGUAAUGGCCUACCAAGGCGUCGACGGGUAGCCGGCCUGAGAGGGUGUACGGCCACAGUGGGACUGAGAUACGGCCCAGACUCCUACGGGAGGCAGCAGGGGGGAAUAUUGCACAAUGGGCGCAAGCCUGAUGCAGCGACGCCGCGUGGGGGAUGACGGCCUUCGGGUUGUAAACUCCUUUCGCUAGGGACGAAGCGUUAUGUGACGGUACCUGGAGAAGAAGCACCGGCUAACUACGUG
rnacentral:rRNA from 1 species